rnacentral:rRNA from 1 species
GCAAGUCGAGCGCACCUUUUCGGAGGUGAGCGGCGCACGGGUGAGUAACGCGUGGGAACCUACCCUGGGGUAGGGGAUAACCGCUGGAAACGGCGGCUAAUACCCUAUACGUCCUUCGGGAGAAAGAUUUAUCGCCCUGGGAUGGGCCCGCGUCGGAUUAGCUAGUUGGUGGGGUAAAGGCUCACCAAGGCGACGAUCCGUAGCUGGUCUGAGAGGAUGAUCAGCCACACUGGGACUGAGACACGGCCCAGACUCCUACGGGAGGCAGCAGUGGGGAAUAUUGGACAAUGGGCGCAAGCCUGAUCCAGCCAUGCCGCGUGAGUGAAGAAGGCCUUAGGGUUGUAAAGCUCUUUCACCCGCGAAGAUGAUGACGGUAGCGGGAGAAGAAGCUCCGGCUAACUCCGUGCCAGCAGCCGCGGUAAUACGGAGGGGGCAAGCGUUGUUCGGAUUUACUGGGCGUAAAGGGCGCGUAGGCGGAUGUUCGCGUCAGAGGUGAAAGCCCCGGGCUCAACCUGGGAACUGCCUUUGAAACGGGACAUCUUGAGUUCGGAAGAGGGUAGCGGAAUUCCCAGUGUAGAGGUGAAAUUCGUAGAUAUUGGGAAGAACACCAGUAGCGAAAGCGGCUACCUGGUCCGACACUGACGCUGAGGCGCGAAAGCGUGGGGAGCAAACAGGAUUAGAUACCCUGUAGUCCACGCCGUAACGAUGUGCGCUAGCCGUUGGGAUGCUUGCAUUUCGGUGGCGAAGUUAACGCAUUAGCGCACGCUGGGAGUACGCGCAGUACACUCAAUGAUUGACGA